CCCAUUCAUUUGGUGUGUGCCGUUUGCACACUACCAUGGAGGCCAUGGAGGAAAAUGAAAAUCCCUUCCCCAAGAAAUCAUCCCUAUUCGAUACUGUCGAAGUUGCUCUUACGAUUCAGGUCUGUUUCAAAACCAUAGCUCGAUUAUCUGGAGCUGUUGAACAAGUUCUUGGUGUUGUUACGGCUGCAUCACCAAUCCAGAUAAUUGUAGGUAGCUUUGUUGCCGAUCAGAAUUAGCCAAAAUCGGCAAAUCAUUUUGAGGCAUCACCUUCCAUCCCAAACAAGUUAGAAAGGCUCUUUCUAUCUCACUAGUCAAGCGCACUAGCUGCAAAGCGCUAUCUAGAAACAGAAAGGCGCUGUCUACCUUAUAGGAUGGAUUAUUACUAUCGGAAAAGAUGAGGGUGAAGUUUUUUAUCCCUUCUCCUGUGUGCACAUACCCUGGUUGAAGAGGAUGAUGAGGAGAAGAUAUGCACAUCCCCCCAGUUGAAGAGGAUGAUGAGGAGAAGACGGGCACAUAUCGGACAAGAAAUUUUCUAGUUUUCCAGAUAGAUUGAGCUAGUUGCAAAACUACACCAAAUAUUUCACGAUUGUGACCAACCAAAUGUUCUUUGGAGCAAAUUUUUCAUAGUAUGUUAUGUUAUAUAACAAUAUUUGGUAAUCAAAUUGGAGUUGAGAGUUAAUUGUGUAUUUUGAUUAGGAAAUGUAAAAUAUUGCGAGAAAUUACAUUUGAGUCUGAUUUGCUAUUCAUCUUUUA